CUUAUGAUAAAGCUGUGGCUUCCUUUAAGCAUGCUCUAAAGAACGGUGACAUUUGUGAAACUCCAGAUAAGCCAAAAGGCACAGCCAGAAGAAAACCUGCCAAGAAGAAUAAAAGCCAAAAGAAGAAUGCCACAACUCCCUUGAAACAGAAUGAAAGUCAAGUUUCCACAGACGACAGUGAACACUCCUCCAGAUCGCUCAGAAGUAAAGCACACAGCAAGUCCAAAGCUGCUCCGUGGACCUCAUUUCUUCCUCCACCACCCCCAAUGCCAGGGUCAGGAUUAGGACCAGGAAAGAGUGAUGAUUCUGACAUUUGGGAUGAUA
rnacentral:sRNA from 1 species